ACUGGGCUUAUUAAAAUUUUUAUAACGAAGUGUGUUGAUCAGGUCCUGUUGAUUCUUAAACUCAAUAUAUUCUUCGGAUUUAGAAUUAGAAAACACUUCAUUAAUAUGACUAACCUCUGGUGAAUACAAAAAAUUAUAAAAAAAAUUAAAGUUUACCAAUUGUUUAAAAUUAUUUACUAAAUAAGAAAAAUUGUGUACAACAAUGCUUCAAGAAGAUUAAAAUUGUUUCUAAGUUAAAGAUACAUGCAAUUCUAAUAUUUUAUAAAAUCUUUUCUUCUUUUUUGCUUGCAUUAAUUAUUGUUUAUGUUUUAUUAUUGGUAAAACAAAUAUGGUGAUGACUGUGAUGUACCUAUGGUAUUAAACAUUAAUGCUUCUGGGUUAAUUUUCAGAGCUAAGCCGAUAAAACUUAUUUCCAUUAUAUAUUAUUAAUAUAAAACCGAUAAGCGAAUGAUUAUUAUGUUUACUUGAAUCCAUGAACAAAUACAAAAAAUCAAAUCUUUUCUAUUAAAACAGUUUUCCGAUAUAUAAUCUGAUAUGAAUGGCAGUUUAUCAAGAAUUUAUUCUAAGUAUUUGUAGCAUUAUUGAAAUUUUAUGAUUAACAUGGAUUAUCUACAAGUGUAUAAUAAGUCAUUAACAAAUGGGGAUUACUUGUCAAACCUAAUAAUCUAAGACCAUGAACUAUCCAUAAAAAUAUAAAGUAUAAAAGAUAAUUCUUUUUAAUCUUCAAUUAUAUGGUCUAUGCAAAUU